AACCAGCACCUCAAGUUGUCAGGAGGAUUAUUGGGCCUAAAGCAUCCGUAGCCGGCUCUGUUAGUUUUCGGUUAAAUCCAUAUGCUCAACAUAUGGGCUGUCGGAAAUACUACAGAGCUAGGGAAUGGGAGAGGUAGACGGUACUCGGUAGGAAGGGGUAAAAUCCUUUGAUCUAUUGAUGACCACCUGUGGCGAAGGCAGCUUUCUGGACCAAUACUGACGCUGAGGUACGAAAGCGUGGGUAGCAAACAGG
rnacentral:rRNA from 1 species